rnacentral:rRNA from 1 species
UACGGAGGGGGCUAGCGUUGUUCGGAAUUACUGGGCGUAAAGCGCACGUAGGCGGCUUUUUAAGUCAGAGGUGAAAUCCCGGGGCUCAACCCCGGAACUGCCUUUGAAACUGGAGAGCUAGAAUCUUGGAGAGGCGCGUGGAAUUCCGAGUGUAGAGGUGAAAUUUGUAGAUAUUCGGAAGAACACCAGUGGCGAAGGCGACACGCUGGACAAGUAUUGACGCUGAGGUGCGAAAGCGUGGGGAGCAAACAGG